GAUCAUGGCUCAGGACGAACGCUGGCGGCGUGCCUAAUACAUGCAAGUAGAACGCUGAAGGAGGAGCUUGCUUCUCUGGAUGAGUUGCGAACGGGUGAGUAACGCGUAGGUAACCUGCCUGGUAGCGGGGGAUAACUAUUGGAAACGAUAGCUAAUACCGCAUAAGAGUAGAUGUUGCAUGACAUUUGCUUAAAAGGUUAGCAAUUGCAUCACUACCAGAUGG
rnacentral:rRNA from 1 species